rnacentral:rRNA from 1 species
UACGGAGGGGGCUAGCGUUGUUCGGAGUUACUGGGCGUAAAGCGCACGCAGGCGGCUUUGUAAGUUAGAGGUGAAAGCCCGGGGCUCAACUCCGGAAUUGCCUUUAAGACUGCAUCGCUAGAAUUGUGGAGAGGUAAGUGGAAUUCCGAGUGUAGAGGUGAAAUUCGUAGAUAUUCGGAAGAACACCAGUGGCGAAGGCGACUUACUGGACACAUAUUGACGCUGAGGUGCGAAAGCGUGGGGAGCAAACAGG